rnacentral:rRNA from 1 species
GACGAACGCUGGCGGCGCGCUUAACACAUGCAAGUCGAACGGAAAGGCCUGCUUUCCCUUGUGGAUUGCGGGUACUCGAGUGGCGAACGGGUGAGUAACACGUGAGUGAUCUGCCCCCAACUUGGGUAUAAGCCUGGGAAACUGGGUCUAAUUCCCGAUAGGACUGCAGGGUGGUGCCUGUGGUGGAAAACGAUUUUCUAGUGGUUGGGGAUGAGCUCGCGGCCUAUCAGCUUGUUGGUGGGGUAAUGGCCUACCAAGGCGGCGACGGGUAGCCGGCCUGAGAGCGUGGACGGCGACAUUGGGACUGGGACAAGGCCCAGACUGCAAGGGGAGGCAGCAGUGGGGAAUAUUGGACAAUGGGCGGAAGCCUGAUGCAGCGACGCCGCGUGGGGGAUGACGGCCUUCGGGUGGUAAACUCCUUGCGACCGCGAGGAAGCCACCUGGAUGGAAGGGUGGUGACGGUAGUGGUAGAAGAAGCACCGGCUAACUACGUG